rnacentral:rRNA from 1 species
UACGGAGGGUGCGAGCGUUAAUCGGAAUUACUGGGCGUAAAGCGCACGCAGGCGGUUUGUUAAGCUAGAUGUGAAAGCCCCGGGCUCAACCUGGGAUGGUCAUUUAGAACUGGCAGACUAGAGUCUUGGAGAGGGGAGUGGAAUUCCAGGUGUAGCGGUGAAAUGCGUAGAUAUCUGGAGGAACAUCAGUGGCGAAGGCGACUCCCUGGCCAAAGACUGACGCUCAUGUGCGAAAGUGUAGGUAGCGAACAGG